UACGAAGGGUGCAAGCGUUGCUCGGAAUUAUUGGGCGUAAAGGGUAGGUAGGUGGUUACGUAUGUCUGGGGUGAAAUCCCUGAGCUCAACUCAGGAAGUGCCUUGGAAACGGCGUAACUAGAGUACUAGAGAGGUUCGUGGAAUUCCCGGUGUAGCGGUGAAAUGCGUAGAGAUCGGGAGGAACAUCAGAGGCGAAGGCGGCGAACUGGAUAGUAACUGACACUGAACUACGAAAGCGUGGGUAGCAAACAGG
rnacentral:rRNA from 1 species